GUGAUCGUAGCUCAGUGGUAGAGCGCCUGGUUGUGGCCCAGGAGGUCGUGGGUUCAAUACCCAUCUUUCACCCCA
rnacentral:tRNA from 1 species